rnacentral:tRNA from 1 species
GAUUAGAAAGCGAAUAUUUGCUCUUAGUUUCGGCCUAAGGUUUGACCAAAUUUGGUCUCUAAUUA